GGGGAUUUAGCUCAGUGGUAGAGCACUUGCCUAGGAAGCGCAAGACUCUGGGUUCGGUCCCCAGCUCCG
rfam:Rattus norvegicus chromosome 14, whole genome shotgun sequence.